GGUCAUCAGUGAGAUCCCUCUCUAGUGAGAACUUGAGAUUGACUGGACAGUUAUUUUUCUCUAGCAACAACUUCCUGAUGGUUGGGGUCUCUGGUCAGGCAAGACUCUCAUCACUCCUUCAUUGUUAGAUACAAGCAAGGUAUCAACGUUGUAUGACUGGGAUUCAGCGAACUUCCCUUUACUCUAGAUCUCCACAAUGGACACCUCUUUAAGUUGACUUAGCCUUGUGUUCAAGAGGCCUAUAUGGUCAAAUGGUGGAUCUUCCCGUUUGGAGAUUGACCUAAUAGUCAUUCAACAUGUACCAAGUGCCAGAGGAGCUGAGAAAAAUACUCAAUAUAAUAAAGCAAUGGACAACCAGAUGACAGAGUUGUGACUUAUUGGCCCUGGACAUCAUUCUAAUAUGCAGUACAUUUUCAAAUGAUGAAUGAACACAAAUUUUUACAAGAACCUUGAAUAGAGAAGAGGAAUAACAAAAUAAUGGAAGGAAAGAAUGGAAGACGGAAGACAGGAAAAAAGGAAAGAAGAAAGAAGCAGUUUUCCAUCAGGAAAGCUGGAAACAAGGAAUCAACAACUUACU